AGUAAGGUAAGUUAAAAAAACUAUUAGGCUCAUGACCUAAAAAUGAGGAAACUCCCUUGCUU
rnacentral:tRNA from 1 species